UACGAAGGGGGCUAGCGUUGUUCGGAUUUACUGGGCGUAAAGCGCACGUAGGCGGACUUUUAAGUCAGGGGUGAAAUCCCAGAGCUCAACUCUGGAACUGCCUUUGAUACUGGAAGUCUUGAGUAUGGUAGAGGUGAGUGGAAUUCCGAGUGUAGAGGUGAAAUUCGUAGAUAUUCGGAGGAACACCAGUGGCGAAGGCGGCUCACUGGACCAUUACUGACGCUGAGGUGCGAAAGCGUGGGGAGCAAA
rnacentral:rRNA from 1 species